AAGUCGAACGAACUCUGGUAUUGAUUGGUGCUUGCAUCAUGAUUUACAUUUGAGUGAGUGGCGAACUGGUGAGUAACACGUGGGAAACCUGCCCAGAAGCGGGGGAUAACACCUGGAAACAGAUGCUAAUACCGCAUAACAACUUGGACCGCAUGGUCCGAGUUUGAAAGAUGGCUUCGGCUAUCACUUUUGGAUGGUCCCGCGGCGUAUUAGCUAGAUGGUGGGGUAACGGCUCACCAUGGCAAUGAUACGUAGCCGACCUGAGAGGGUAAUCGGCCACAUUGGGACUGAGACACGGCCCAAACUCCUACGGGAGGCAGCAGUAGGGAAUCUUCCACAAUGGACGAAAGUCUGAUGGAGCAACGCCGCGUGAGUGAAGAAGGGUUUCGGCUCGUAAAACUCUGUUGUUAAAGAAGAACAUAUCUGAGAGUAACUGUUCAGGUAUUGACGGUAUUUAACCAGAAAGCCACGGCUAACUACGUGCCAGCAGCCGCGGUAAUACGUAGGUGGCAAGCGUUGUCCGGAUUUAUUGGGCGUAAAGCGAGCGCAGGCGGUUUUUUAAGUCUGAUGUGAAAGCCUUCGGCUCAACCGAAGAAGUGCAUCGGAAACUGGGAAACUUGAGUGCAGAAGAGGACAGUGGAACUCCAUGUGUAGCGGUGAAAUGCGUAGAUAUAUGGAAGAACACCAGUGGCGAAGGCGGCUGUCUGGUCUGUAACUGACGCUGAGGCUCGAAAGUAUGGGUAGCAAACAGGAUUAGAUACCCUGGUAGUCCAUACCGUAAACGAUGAAUGCUAAGUGUUGGAGGGUUUCCGCCCUUCAGUGCUGCAGCUAACGCAUUAAGCAUUCCGCCUGGGGAGUACGGCCGCAAGGCUGAAACUCAAAGGAAUUGACGGGGGCCCGCACAAGCGGUGGAGCAUGUGGUUUAAUUCGAAGCUACGCGAAGAACCUUACCAGGUCUUGACAUACUAUGCAAAUCUAAGAGAUUAGACGUUCCCUUCGGGGACAUGGAUACAGGUGGUGCAUGGUUGUCGUCAGCUCGUGUCGUGAGAUGUUGGGUUAAGUCCCGCAACGAGCGCAACCCUUAUUAUCAGUUGCCAGCAUUAAGUUGGGCACUCUGGUGAGACUGCCGGUGACAAACCGGAGGAAGGUGGGGAUGACGUCAAAUCAUCAUGCCCCUUAUGACCUGGGCUACACACGUGCUACAAUGGAUGGUACAACGAGUUGCGAACUCGCGAGAGUAAGCUAAUCUCUUAAAGCCAUUCUCAGUUCGGAUUGUAGGCUGCAACUCGCCUACAUGAAGUCGGAAUCGCUAGUAAUCGCGGAUCAGCAUGCCGCGGUGAAUACGUUCCCGGGCCUUGUACACACCGCCCGUCACACCAUGAGAGUUUGUAACACCCAAAGUCGGUGGGGUAACCUUUUAGGAA
rnacentral:rRNA from 1 species